CCAAAAAGCGGGCUGGAAGCGGGGACGUACUUGUCGCUGGCAGCCCGGCAGUCAAGUCGAAGAAACCCCGGAGAGGAAAGGCUGGCAGGUCUGUCCAACAGCAUAUGUCGACGGACACACACCAUUGUUUUAUCCUCGCUUUUUGCGACUCCUUUACCAACCUUAAGUGCGCCUCUCUCCCAAAAGCUUCGCCCCUCCCUCCCCCUACCAACUACGCUG
rnacentral:lncRNA from 1 species